GUGCUUAAAAUGCAUGUUUCUCUUUUCUCUGGAAUAGUCUGGUCAAAGCUGAAGUCACAGAAAGCAUUAGAGCGCUGGCAGCCAGACACAGAGGAGGAAUAUGAAGACUCCAGCGGAAACGUGGUCAACAAGAAGACUUAUGAGGAUCUGAAGCGACAGGGGCUUCUGUAGCACAACAAACAAGAUCUCUGAACACACAAAACACUCACAGUGUGAAUACUGAAGCAGAAAUGUGAUAGAGUUUAGUCCUCGUCUGUCCCACAGUUUGUGAGAAAUUUGAUUUGUCUUUUUGAGAAUGAUCAGUUUGUACAUUUGUAUUACUCUUUCGUUAUGCCCCAUUUUUGCAUUUGCUGUCUUAAUUAUUAAACAGAGACUUUCAUUAAUCAAUGAAUUUUAGUACAUUGUGUGAAAAAUGUUUACUUGUGCAGCAUGCUGUUUUUAACCAGUCUGGAGACUUUUUAAACCUGCUGUACAAUAAAAUCAAACAGUGAGAUGGUUUUACUUCAGUAGGCAUCUGUCACUGUACUAAAAUAUAUUCAGACUCCUUCAUUUUUCCCAACUUUUGAUGUUGCAGCCUAAUGCUAAAAUCCUUUAUUUUUCAUUCACAUCAAUCAUAAUGACAAAGAAAAAUCAGAUGUGAUAACUGCAAAUGUAGUGAAAGAAAUAAAAAAAAAAUAUUGAAAAACAGUAUCACAUUGACAUAAGAAUUCUUAAGUUUUAUUGCUUUGACUGAAUUUAGUUCAGAUGCACCCAAUUUCUCUGGAUCAUCAUUGAGAUUU